GAUGAAGAACGCAGUGAAAUGCGAUACGUAAUGUGAAUUGCAGAAUUCAGUGAAUCAUCGAGUCUUUGAACGCACAUUGCGCCCCCUGGUAUUCCGGGGGGCAUGCCUGUCCGAGCGUCAUUGCUGCCCUCAAGCACGGCUUGUGUGUUGGGCCUCCGUCCUCCUCCCGGGGGACGGGCCCGAAAGGCAGCGGCGGCACCGCGUCCGGUCCUCGAGCGUAUGGGGCUUCGUCACCCGCUCUUGUAGGCCCGGCCGGCGCUUGCCGACACAUCAAUCUUUUUAACCAGGUUGACCUCGGAUCAGGUAGGGAUACCCGCUGAACUUAAGCAUAUCAAUAAGCGGAGGA
rnacentral:misc_RNA from 1 species